rnacentral:lncRNA from 1 species
CAUGAGGGAUGUAUGGUAUGGAAGGUGGGCUAGCUACCUCACAGACCAGACCCUGAGGGAUGAAUGCUAUGGAAGGUGGGCUAGCUACCUCAGACCAGACCUGACCCUGAGGGAUGUAUGGUAUGGAAGGUGGGCUAGCUACCUCAGACCAGACCUGACCCUGAGGGAUGUAUGGUAUGGAAGGUGGGCUAGCUACCUCAGACCAGACCUGACCAUGAGGGAUGUAUGGUAUGGAAGGUGGGCUAGCCACCUCAGACCAGACCAGACCCUGAGGGAUGUAUGGUAUGGAAGGUGGGCUAGCUACCUCACAGACCAGACCUGACCCUGAGGGAUGUAUGGUAUGGAAGGUGGGCUAGCUACCUCAGACCAGACCUGUGUAAAAUACUAUUUGAAAUCUUUCAAAUACUUUCAGUGUUUGCUACAGCCUGCCUGGAGUGCCAUGUGGGCGUGGCAUGCAUUUGUGGGACUAUUCUAUUGGUCCAUUGAGCUAGGCAGGCUCAAUCAAGCACAGCUAAAAGUAUUUGAAAUAUUUCAAAUCGUUUUUGAACCUAGUCUUGUGGCUCUAC